rnacentral:rRNA from 3 species
AAUGACUCUCGACAACGGAUAUCUCGGCUCUCGCAUCGAUGAAGAACGUAGCGAAAUGCGAUACUUGGUGUGAAUUGCAGAAUCCCGUGAACCAUCGAGUCUUUGAACGCAAGUUGCGCCCGAAGCCACUAGGCCGAGGGCACGCCUGCCUGGGUGUCACGCA